rnacentral:rRNA from 1 species
AGUGAACGCUGGCGGUAGGCCUAACACAUGCAAGUCGAACGGCAGCACAGUAAGAGCUUGCUCUUACGGGUGGCGAGUGGCGGACGGGUGAGGAAUACAUCGGAAUCUACUUUUUCGUGGGGGAUAACGUAGGGAAACUUACGCUAAUACCGCAUACGACCUAAGGGUGAAAGCAGGGGACCUUCGGACCUUGCGCGAUUGAAUGAGCCGAUGUCGGAUUAGCUAGUUGGCGGGGUAAAGGCCCACCAAGGCGACGAUCCGUAGCUGGUCUGAGAGGAUGAUCAGCCACACUGGAACUGAGACACGGUCCAGACUCCUACGGGAGGCAGCAGUGGGGAAUAUUGGACAAUGGGCGCAAGCCUGAUCCAGCCAUACCGCGUGGGUGAAGAAGGCCUUCGGGUUGUAAAGCCCUUUUGUUGGGAAAGAAAAGCAGCAGGUUAAUACCCCGCUGUUCUGACGGUACCCAAAGAAUAAGCACCGGCUAACUUCGUG